ensembl:lncRNA
AUUUUUGUUUUUCCUUAUAUAUAUUUUUCUCAUAUAAAGAAAGGAAAAAAGAAGAACACGAUCUUUGUGCAUUUCUAAAGGAUGUAUUCUUGUUGGAAACUUUCGAAAGUGUGUUAAGUUGAAGAAGAACUGAGUGCACCCAACCCUGGUCCUCCCUGUUCAUCUCGAGCGUGCCAGGGAAAAGACCCCAGGCAUGCGUGUGCCUCGAGUGACAACUCCUGGCCCUGACACUUGAGGACAUUCCUGUGUGUGAAGAAAUGUUCAGCUCCCGGACUCUGCAGCAGCCACUUCCUGCAACCCUCUGACAUGAAAUUCUCAUUGUGUUACUCUUUCAGUUGUGGAAUAUUGUGGUCUGCUGGUACUGCUUAUUAGUUGGUGGUGAAUGUCCUUAACCUUUAUUUCACUACUUCUUAAUACAAAGGUCUAAUUUUUUUGAUGCCUUAUAAUCUACAAACAAUGUAGAACAUGAUUUUAAAAUUUAGAAAUCCUUCAUAUGGUUACAAACAUGGGACUUCAUGGAAUUUGAAGAGUUCAUGUGUGUAGAAUAUAGCACCAUAUUCAGUUUUUAUAAAUGUAUUAAAUAUUACCAUGUGGCCUGUUAGUAUAAUAUUGCAAACAUAAGGAAUCUGGGCCAGGGCAACAAUUGGAUUGUACAGAAUGCAAAAGAAGAAUGUGAUAAGUUGAAUUAUUUGAACUACCAAAUACUCAGCAAUUUCUCAGUUUAGAUCCACAUCCAACCAAGUAGCAGAUGACCAGACCAGUUGCUUAUGUACUUUGACUACAUGGAAAAGCCCUUCAGCUCAGCUGUCUGGUGCACACAGAAUAGCAGAAGAAUGUUGGCAACAUUUUCUUCACUGGCAGACUAGCUAUUAAUUGAUCAUUCAUUCAACAAGCAUUCAUGGACAUCUCCAAUGAAUCAGCGACUGUGGACAUCAAGAUGAACAAAGCAUGGUUUCUGGCACCUUCAUCAUCACCUUGGAACUUAGUCACAUGGAUGAAAUAAACAAUUCAAAUAGACAAAAGCCCUGGAAAAGUCUGCUGUGAACGGAGCAGGGAUGGUGUGCAGGAGUGUUGGUGAUGGUGAGGGCAGCUCUUUCAUUUCAGAUCCUUCCCCUUUGGGAGAAGAGGGCAAGACUGACAACUCCUGCGAUGAGAAAUGGGAGGGUAAGGAGAGAAAAGGAGAGUGGACUCGAGCAUCUCCUAGAUGGCAUCUUGCUAGGCCAAGCUAUCAUCACUGCUUACGGAGAUUGUUUAGUAACUAAUGCAGUAUUCUAUCCCUGUUCACUAUCUGUCUUUAGCACGUUUCCUGCCACAGUCUAAAUAGUUCUAAAGCACAUGGACACACACACACACAUGCACGCACGCCACAGAAAUACACUGAGUUCGUGCAACUUCAUGCUCACCAUCUAUGGCUUCAUGUGGCUCUUAGAAUAAAUCCCGAAAUGUAUCUACCAGCUCCUUAGUGGUCCUUUGCAGUCUCUUCAUGUCUCUCACUCUUUCCUGUCUUUAAGCUCCAACCACUUAGACUUUUUCCAUUUCAGACUCUUUUUCAGUUCUUAUGCCAGUAAGAUGAGUUUCCCUCUCAACUCAGGUCAUGCUAAUCAUGUUUUCCCUAAUACUUGGGGUCUUCUUCCCUCUCCCCCUCCAUACCUCACUGUUCUUCAGAACUUAGCUAAAGAUUCACCUUUAGGAAUCCCUUUCUAACUUUUGUGACUAGGUCAAAAAACCUGGUUCCUCUUCAUAGCAAUUUCUGAUAUAUUAUGUCACUAAAUAACUAUUUACCCAUACACUCUUUAUUCAUUGAGGCAGUUAGAAUGUAUCUCUGCCCUCACAGUUUACAUUCUAGUAGAAGAAAAUGUUAUUAACAAAGAAGUAAGUAUGUAUGGUAAUACAAGUGCCAUAUGGUAAUACUGUAAAAGCUAUGAAGACAGUUUAGGAUGGAAUAGGAGAUUAACAAUGCCUGACAGGAGAGAAAGUAAGGGAGAGAACUGGCAUUAUACACGAAUCAUUAAGGAAACCUAACCGAGAAGGUGAUGUUGGCCCUAAGACCGGAAGGAAGGAAGGAGUGGAACUGUGUGACUGUUCUGGAAUGGCUCAUCCGGCAAAGGUAAUGGAGAAUGUAAAGACCUUGUGACAAGACUCAGCCUGAAGUUUUCAAAGAGCAGCAAGAGGCCAGUUGGGUCUGGAAUGCAGUGUGAGAGAGAAAAUAAUGCAAAUGUGGUUAGAGAAGAGAGACAAGAUUGUGUAGUGUCAUACAGGGACUUAGUUUUACUCCGGGUGUGAAGGGACAUCUUUGGAGGGUGUAUUUGGGAGAGCUUGAUUUAGUGUAUAUUAUAAAACAACAGCUUUGCCUGCUGCUUUCAGAUGGGGAUGAGGGAAGCAUGCCCAGCUUGGGAAGCCCACUGCCUUCAUUUAAGUGGAACCAAGCUGGCAGUGUGAGGUUGAAUUCAAUGUAUAGUAUGAAAUAAAAGUAAUCGGACCUGCAGACAUGUAGGCUGCUAAAUAUAUAAAAAAGAGAAGAACGAAUAAUGACUUCAGGAUUUUCAAUAUCAAUAAUUUUGAAGGUGAAAUUGCCAUUUGCUGAAAUGGGGAAGACGAGAUACCGUUUUUAGACAUACGAAGCUGCUUUUCAGACAUCUAGGUAAAGAUAUCUUUUGUGCAAUUGGAUGUUUGGGCUUGGAGGUCAAGGUAGAUUUAUGGCUGGCAGUACAGGUGGUAUUUAAAAAUAAUGAGCCAGGAUGUGGUUAUUAAAGGUAUGGGUAUGGUUAGACAUGGGAGAGGAAAGUUGAGGACUGAGAUCAGGGACUCACUCGAGAUAGUUACACCUUUACUUUCAUUCCGAUCAUUUGUUUAUUGGUGCUCAUCUCUCCCACUGACAAAGGCAGAGAACACAUGGAAAUCCAAGGAUAUUUAUGGGAGUGAAUUCUUCCAGUCCUCUGUCUCCCCAGUGACCUAUAUUCUUUUGGUUUUAGUUAGCCCAAUCUUUAUCUUGCAUGCACAGGUGGCUGACUGUUCCUCCUUGUCAAUUUAUCCUCUCUCCACUGCACUCAAAAGCUUACAUUAUUUAUAUUUAUCCGCACACAACAUUCUAAUGCAACAAUUAAAUAUAGUAAUCUUUUCUCCUAUUACAUAUAUAAUACAUUGAGUUAAAGAUUUAAUGCUGAUCAUAACUAGUGUAUUAAAAAUUAAGCAUAAUUUUUUGAUCUUUGUUUAAUGAUUUAUCUUCCUGCUCUUGUAUUCUCCAUUGGUAAUCCCUUAAAGACCAUAUCAUUACUACUUAUUUCACAUCUCUGGGGGAAUAAACAGAGCAGAAAUUAGAUAGAUGUUGAAAAUUGAAAUUAAUCUUUGGUUGACUCUUAGUCCCAACAAAGUGAUAAGAUUUUCAGAUUUGCCUGAAUUAUUUUUCACAAGGGGAGAAAUUGGCUCAGAACUAUAAGACAUUAGUGUGCAAACUUUUCACUAAUGAUCAUUCUUUUUCCUAUAUUCUUCAUUCUUUUCAGAAUCAAUUGUAAACAUCUUCACUAAGAGCUGAAAUACAUUCCUGGGAACAUGAGUUUGACAGAAGUGUUUCUUUAUAUUUUGUACUCAAAGCCAAAGCAUCUGGCACCAAUUUCCUUAGACCUUUCUCAGUUUCAAACCUACCAUCCGACUCUCUGCAUACCUUGAGAUCUCAGUUGAAUCUUUGCCUCCAGAGUCCUGAGGACAAAAGGAUAACAAACUGGAAAGAACCGAAUAGUAAUGAUUUUGGUCCAUGAAAACCCCCAGGACUUCAGUGUAUCCAUAGCAAGGCAACUAGCAAUGGCUACAACAAAGUUGAAAUGCUUAAUUUCACAAUUUUGUAGGAAAUGCUGUGAAAGUUUUGAAAGUGUCAAGAAUAAAAAAUAUGAAUUGGAAAGAAUUUUUCCAUAAAGCUACAAUCAGUACUUUCGUUAGGAGCUCGGGCAACAUGGCUGCCCUGGAUACUGUGGAACUUGUGAGGCUAACCAGUAGAUUCCAUCACUAGAGAACGUCAUCACUUAAAUGUCUACAGCAGUGUAUCCGUUUCAUCAAGCAAGGAUUAAUAUGUAAGCAGAAUUAUUUAAUGCAGUCCCACACUGACAAACUAAGCCUGAGAAGAUGUAGUGGUUUCCAGUUUACAAAGUGCCAGAGACUGAGUUCUUAUACUGGCUAAUUCAAAGGAAGCUGGCAAACAAUUUAAAGAUGUAAUUUGCAUCCUGGCUGGUGAUAUUCUCUGACUUGCUGAGCCUCUUAUGCAGCUUGUUUGCAUUGGCUGGGCAGAUUUGCUGUUUCUAUUCUAACUGCAUUGUGUGCAGCAUGAAGAAUGCUGAUUAAUUCUUGUCGGUAACCAUCCAACACACUGCCAGUGUUUCACAUUUAUAUCCUCCAAUCCAAAAUCUGUGUAUGCAUUCCUUAAGUCAUUAGUGGGAAUAGCAUGUAAUGUGUAAAUAAACCUGCUUUUGAUUUGGAUGAAAAAUAACUGUUGAUCCUCUGCUCCCUUUAAAAUACAGGAAUUGCAUUAGAUGGGGGGAUCUUCUAUAGUCUUCGUCUGCUUCAAGUGGCUUUAAUUAGCAUUUUUUAAUUGUCCCCACAGCUGCCACUCAUGGAAAACUCAAAAUAUCACUUGUAACUGGAAGAUAAACUUGCAGUUUGUGCAUAGCAUGAAGUCAGUAGAUCUUCAUAAACUGUAGACAUUGCAACUACUCAGCAUUAUUGUUCUAGUAAUGGUACUGGAGUGUUUCUUGGACAGCCAUUUUUGAUACCUUUUGAUUAUAUGGUAGGUGAUUUUCUCAUCUUAUUACUUUAAAAGAGAAAGGUAACAAAUGAUAUCUAGGCGAGUCCCAUUUAGCAUAUUGUUCACUGUUUUGUUCAGAGAAUAAAUGUUUUUUACUAGUCCAUGUUUGCAGUGCAUCAUGUUGACACUCCUCAUGCGGAGUUGGCUGGCCCAUGUGCACAACACACCUCAGUUCCUUCUCACCCCCUUUCCCUCCUCCUCCCAUCUCUCCAUUCCCUUUUCUUUCCAAAAAGAUUUAUCUUUAGACUUCCUAUCAUCUUUUUUACUUUGUUCUUUAUUUAUAUUUUGGUUUAUCACUAUGGAAAUCAGUAUGAAGAUUACUAAAAAAAUGAAAACUUAAAUUCCACCUGACUCAGCCAUUCCCCUUCUGGACGUUUUCCUGGCAAAGUUAAAGACAUCAUAUUACAGCAAUUCAUGCACACCCAUGUUUAUAGAAGCACAAUUCAUACUAGUUAAAUCUUGCAAACAACCUAUAUGUCCACCAACAGAGUAAAUAAAUUUUUAAAUGACAGGUUGUAGUUUGAAAAGUCAUUUUAUUAGAAACCUUAAAGUAUUCUGAGAAGAAAAAGGCAUCAUUCCUUACUUUGAAGCUUAUAGUCAAGUUAUAGUUUACAGUAGAGUAUGCAGUCAGAAUUAAAACAAUAACUGACACUAUUAAAAUGAAUUUAUCCUUAUUUUCUUGACUUCAUUCCCAACUUUACCUAGCUUUUCUUGGGUUCCUAAAUGGAACUAUCAAAUCAUAUGAUUAGAUUCAUCAUAACUGACCUUUUUGCUUUCUGAAAAAGUAAGUAUCUAAGAGAAUAGAAUGGUUUAAAAUAUUUUUUGUACUGUCAGUGAAGGAGGUAGAAAUGACAACCACUCACAAUGGAUGAAACCGUAGGGGAGUUAUAUUAUUCAGGUGAUUGGGAAGACCUCAGGAAAGUCUACAGCAAGGACCCUGUUAGGUUUUCUUGUGCUGAUUAUCACUGCAGUUCCCUCAGUUGGCUGUACUCUGACCCCUUAUCCGUUUAUGUUGUGUCUUCUGGAACGUUUAAUGUUUAUUUUGCAUUGAUAGAGUUUCUUGAUUGGAAAAUUUUUGUUUCCUGAAAAGUUCAGCAGAAAACCCCACAAUGAACAUUACAGUUACAUUAUAAUUGGCCUGAAUUGGCUCCUGUGUCCACCAUUUAAACAAGUGGAAGGAAGGCUAAGGACGUUUUUGGUCAGCAUUAGCCCAGCCCUAAGAUGCAGAUAAGGAGAGGCCUCUUUUCAUUAUGUUUCUUGAGAAUGAAAAGUUUUUCAGGGAAAAUCAGGAUGUGAUUAUCGGAAACAGAAAUGGAACUAACAGUGGGAAAAAAAAUGAAUAAAAGGGGAGAAAGGAGUGAAGAACUAGCAGUGGGGAAGGAGAAGAAAGGAAAAAUAAGGAAAAGACGGGAGAGGAAGGACUGGAAGGAAGAAGGCUGCCGUUUUAUUGAAGGGUUAAUCAGCAAGGAAGCAGCAGGGCAGGGGGCAGAGGAGCUGAGCUCUUAGCUGGAAUUCUAAUAGGAUCAUUAAUUUCUGUAUAAUUGUGUGAUAAGUCCAUUUGGUUAACUUGGAAGAGCAGUUUCAUUAAUUAGCCGUGUCUAUGCGGAAACACACACAACGCACAGUCACAUAAAUACCUGCAUACCUGUGAUUGGCCCCACAAGACUUCUGAGAUAAAGAAGAUUUACAAUGAAUCUCAUAGUUUUUUCUGGGAAAAUUCGCUUAUAGUCACUUCGUGCCUCACAGAAAUGUGUGCAGGUCUUGAUUGUGCAUAAAAUAAAUGGUAGGCUUAUAUAGGAAGAGUAUUUUUUUAUAUAAGAAGGUCACAAAAUCUCAUGAUAUAAAUUAGGGCACUAACUUUACCAUGCAUUUUAUAUAGAUUCUUUUUAAAUUUUUUUAUUGAGUUUAUUGAUAUAUUUAAGUACACCUUAUUAUCACAUUCAUCAUUGAGAAUUGGUACCUGUACAUGAUGUAUCUUUAUAUAGAUUCUUUCAUUGUAUUUACUGCCUUGUGAUUGGACCUAUGCUUCACACAAUUCAGGUCAGUGUGAUUGAAGCCCAAGGUUUACUAUCUGCUCACACUGAAUGCUUUUUGUCUUGAAGUCAUAUUACUAUGUGCAUAUGUGAAAAUUCUCAUUAUUUCUGGAACUGAAAAGUCAUUUUUCCCUUUUUAUGCUAUUUUUAUAAAAUAAUAAAGUCACAUGUAAUACAAUACUUAAAUUAUUAUACCAAUAUCACUAUAAAGACAAAAAUGGAAAAAUUAAAGUGAACCAUGGCUGGUUGUGCCAGUGAGCUUAAUAUGUUUGUUCUUUGUUGAAAAAGUCAAAAUCUAAAUCCUACACAAGGGACUGCUGGUUUCCACUUAGGGAUAUGGAGAAGUAGAAUGAGUAUCAUUCUCAUCUACAAUGAAGAGAACUGGACACACAGGCAGCUCAUGACUUGGGGACACUGCAUGACAACUAACCCCCAGACUAAGCAGAGGGCCCAGGAGUGAGAAGAGACUGGAGCCCUAACUUACAAAGACAAGAUGUACCUGAAUCUGGGCUCUGAUUGAAAAGGUGGGCCACAUCCAACUUGUGAUUGGUGAUCUCAGUGGAGAGGAAUUGUGAGAAAAGACUGUAUGAAAAAGGCAGAAAUAAAACACAUGGUAACAUUAAAAAUGACCUCAGCGAGCUCCUCAGUGCUGACACAACUAAGGAAAAAAGAAUCCACAGCUCUGAUGGAUUGGUCACCUUUCCGGUUGCUGCGACAAAACACCAGACACCACAGCCUGCAGGAGGAGAGGUUACUUUAGCUCAUGGUUUCAGCAGGUGCAGUCUAUGGCCAGCUAGUUCCGAGGCAGGAAGCUCAGGAGCUUGUAGCAAAGCUGUUCAUUUCACAGCAGAGGCGGUGUGCCCAGGGCAGUAGUGACAGUGAGAGGUGAACCCUGAAGGCACAGCCCAGUGUCCACCUCCUCCAUCUGGGUCCUACAUCCUGCAGCACACUCAGUCCUGCACAUCAGUGGGUCAAGCCAUCACUGACUGGUAUCCCAGGGUCCACCCCACUCCCCAAGGGUCCCUGAGUCCAGUCAAGUUGAAGGUUUUCUGGCACAAUGAGAAUAGAUCUAUAGAAAUGACCCAAACUGAAACAAGAGGGAAAGAAGAGCAAAUCCAGUGUACAAAAGGUAUUUUGAGGUAGGAGUAUACAUGUGACAUGAGUAAGUACAGCACAUACACAUGUACAAUGGAAAGCCAUCCUUCAAUAUUUGACUGACUUGGUUCUAACUUGGAAGGAAGAUGUCAGGAGCUCCUUAGGAAAUAAACACAGUGAUUGUUUUAGCAGUUCCAGUCCCUUCUUAAUGUUGGGUCAUUCAGUCACACAUGCCUGAAUGACUUCAUUGACUGGCAGUUGUCAACUUCCGCUGAGCCAAAAGGAAGCAAGGGAAGUCUUUGACUCCCUGCUCUCUUGCAAUAGGAAUCCACCCUCAGUUUGAAAGAUUUGACAGAGUCAGCUGGGGUUCCACUGGCUUGUUUAGGUAUCAUUUCCUUGUCUUUCCCCUAUUCUCAAUAGAUUAACUUAAUUAAAAUUAC